rnacentral:tRNA from 1 species
GGGCCCGUAGCUCAGCUUGGACAGAGCAGCAGCCUUCUAAGCUGAUGGUCGCGGGUUCA